rnacentral:miRNA from 3 species
CACAUUCAUUGCUGUCGGUGGG